rnacentral:rRNA from 1 species
CCUACGGGGGGCAGCAGUCGGGAAUUUUGCACAAUGGAGGAAACUCUGAAGCAGUGACGCCGCGUGCAGGAAGCAGGUUUUCGGAUUGUAAACUGCUUUAGUCAGGGAAGAAACAAGACAGUACCUGUAAAAUAAGCCCCGGCUAAAUACGUGCCAGCAGCCGAGGUCUAACUUCGGGAGCAAGCGUUAUACGGAUUUACUGUGUGUAGCGGGUGCGUAGACGGGAAAUUAAGCUAGUUGUGAAAUCCCUCGGCUUAAAUGAGGAACUGCAACUAAAACUGAAUUUCUUGAGUGCGGGAGAGGAGAGUGGAAUUCCUAGUGUAGCGGUGAAAUGCGUAGAUAUUAGGAGGAACACCAGUGGCGAAGGCGACUUUCUGGACCGUAACUGACGUUGAGGCACGAAAGUGUGGGGAGCAAACAGGAUUAGAUACCCCUGUAGUC